rnacentral:rRNA from 1 species
GUGGGGAAUAUUGGACAAUGGGCGAAAGCCUGAUCCAGCCAUGCCGCGUGUGUGAAGAAGGUCUUCGGAUUGUAAAGCACUUUAAGUUGGGAGGAAGGGCAGUAAGUUAAUACCUUGCUGUUUUGACGUUACCGACAGAAUAAGCACCGGCUAACUUCGUGCCAGCAGCCGCGGUAAUACGAAGGGUGCAAGCGUUAAUCGGAAUUACUGGGCGUAAAGCGCGCGUAGGUGGUUUUGUAAGUUGGAGGUGAAAUCCCCGAGCUCAACCUGGGAACUGCCUCCAAAACUGCAUGACUAGAGUACGGUAGAGGGUAGUGGAAUUUCCUGUGUAGCGGUGAAAUGCGUAGAUAUAGGAAGGAACACCAGUGGCGAAGGCGACUACCUGGACUGAUACUGACACUGAGGUGCGAAAGCGUGGGGAGCAAACAGGAUUAGAUACCCGAGUAGUCC